rnacentral:rRNA from 1 species
CGCCUCUUGCAAAACUAAUGAAUAAGAGGUCCCGCCUGCCCUGUGACUAUAUGUUUAACGGCCGCGGUAUUUUGACCGUGCAAAGGUAGCGCAAUCACUUGUCCUUUAAAUGGGGACCUGUAUGAAUGGCAUAACGAGGGCUUAGCUGUCUCCUCUUUCAAGUCAAUGAAAUUGAUCCUCCCGUGCAGAAGCGGGAAUAAUAACAUAAGACGAGAAGACCCUAUGGAGCUUUAGACACAAAAUAGACCACGUCAAACACCCUUGAAUAAAAGAACAAACUAAGUGGGCCCUAUUCAAAUGUCUUUGGUUGGGGCGACCGCGGAGUAACAAAAAACCCCCACGUGGAAUAAAACACCACUUUAAAACCAAGAGCCACUGCUCUAAUAAACAGAACAUCUGACCAAUGAGAUCCGGCCUAGCCGAGCAACGAACCGAGUUACCCUAGGGAUAACAGCGCAAUCCUCUUUUAGAGCCCAUAUCGACAAGAGGGUUUACGACCUCGAUGUUGGAUCAGGACAUCCUAAUGGUGCAGCCGCUAUUAAGGGUUCGUUUGUUCAACGAUUAAAGUCCU